rnacentral:rRNA from 1 species
UACGUAGGGUGCAAGCGUUGUCCGGAAUUAUUGGGCGUAAAGAGCUCGUAGGCGGUUCGUCGCGUCGGCUGUGAAAACCUGAGGCUCAACCUCAGGCCUGCAGUCGAUACGGGCGAACUUGAGUACUGCAGGGGAGACUGGAAUUCCUGGUGUAGCGGUGAAAUGCGCAGAUAUCAGGAGGAACACCGGUGGCGAAGGCGGGUCUCUGGGCAGUAACUGACGCUGAGGAGCGAAAGCGUGGGGAGCGAACAGG